rnacentral:lncRNA from 1 species
GGGACAGGUAUGUAUAAUUUUAUUUCAACUUAUUUUCAAAUUAAAAUCGUUAUCAUGGCGAAUGUACGCAUAAUAUGAUAUACACUUUAUGAAAAAAAGCAAUAAAGGUUACGUUCAAGUGCGUAAAACAAGUAUUACCAUUCCUUAAAACCACAAAGGAAUUUCCAAUAUUGCAAACGUGUAUUUUCAGCACAUUUUUCAUUCCACGCAUGUAUCUA